rnacentral:rRNA from 1 species
UACGGGAGGCAGCAGUGAGGAAUAUUGGUCAAUGGACGCAAGUCUGAACCAGCCAAGUAGCGUGCAGGAUGACGGCCCUAUGGGUUGUAAACUGCUUUUGUGCGGGAAUAAAGAAGGGGAUGCGUCCCCUGUUGCAUGUACCGCACGAAUAAGGACCGGCUAAUUCCGUGCCAGCAGCCGCGGUAAU